CGUAUUUUUUCCAUUUUUAGAUGUGUCAACUCUGGUCUAGUUGAUGACAUCAUCCAGACGGAGAAUGUACAGAAGAGCGUGGGAGGAGACAGUCCGGUCGAGAAGUGGAUCGCAUUCAGAGCUUUCAAGUUCCCGGAUGCAGACAUAGUGCGCUUCCAAUGCCAGGCGUUCGCUUGUUUCUUGGCAUCUGAUUGCGAUGACACGUGUUCACCCGUCAGGAGAAGGAAGCGUGAGACGGAGGAAGAAUUUCUACAGAGCGAUGUUCCGACGCUGACACUCAGUGGCGAGAUCCGAGUGCGCACGACUAAUGCUUCUCCUACAAGCCAAGCCUCUUCAACUGACUCAAGAG